GGGGGGGGGGGGGGGGGUGCUGGGGACGUGGGGGGCGGGGGGGGGGGCGCGGCGUGCAGGGGGCUCGGGUGGCGAACGGGGGGGUAAGGCGGGGGUGGUCGGCCCUGCACGUCGGGAUGGGCUUGGGCAACUGGGGCUAGUACCUGUUGGGCGCCAUCUGUGGGGUGGGUGUUGGAAGGUUUUUUCGUUGUAGGAUGAGCGCGCGGCCUAUCAGCUUGUUGGUGGGGUAAUGGCCUACCAAGGCGGCGACGGUUAGCCGGCCGGAGAAGGUGUACGGGCACAUUGGGACUGAGAUACGGCCCAGACUCCUACGGGCGGCAGCAGUGGGGAAUAUUGCACAAUGGGCGCAAGCCUGAUGCCGCGACGCCGCGUGGGGGAUGAAGGCCUUCGGGUUGUAAACUCCUGUCGCUAGGGACGAAGCUUUUUUGUGACGGUACCUAGAUAAGAAGCACCGGCUAACUACGUG
rnacentral:rRNA from 1 species